GCGUGUGUGCGCGGGUGGUGCGCGCCCGGACCGUUCGAAAGUCGAUAACCGCGAGAUCUCCGACACGAGAGAGGGAAUAAUUAAACCGGUCGAGUACCGAUCAAGCAAGCGAGUUUUGCGACGAGGCUCUCGUGUGCACACGCGAACAAGUGUCUGGCCUGUGCUCCGCGAACCGAACUUCCUGGACGAAAUUUCAACCGAUUAGAUUUCACCGCCGCUUCGCCCGUCCUGUCCGCGGCGUGGCCAUGUUGUGUCCCCUACACCCGCAGAAAUGGUUCAUUAACCUUGUAACAGAGCAAAUCCAGACGGACCGUUCGGAUGUUCAGGCGAACGUGACCGUUCUCGUAUGCGAACGACAAAAGGACUGCAGAGGGACGACUUCGCCUCUGCAUUUCGUUUCACGGCCCAUGGAUCGCCGACUGGCUCCGGUUAACAGUAUCUGCCCUGGUGCUCCUGCCGGACGGAUGAACCUAUUUCGAAGAUCCAAGCACCCACGAGAAUGUGAACGGCGAUGCUCGGCUCGCCGACUCGACGAAGGACCGCUGUUUCAUAACCGGAGCCUUGUUCCGGCGCGCGAACGAAAUCGAAUUUCCGGACCGUUGUGCAGUGGUCAGCUCAUACUUCUCCUCGAUCAUCCGACGAUUACGGCUCCUGGACAGCUCCCGUUUCGAGGAUAAGGAACGAGUGCUUGGAUCCGCCGAUGUUUCAGAGAUGGAAGGACGUCUCUCUCUCCUAUCGACGGCAGGAAGAAACGUCCCCAACCCCCGUUCCGAACCAGACUGACGAGAUUAUUGGGGGAAACGCGACGACGACGACGGGACGGGAAACGGAUCGCGACUGCCUUCUUCUUCUCCUCGAGUUCCUCUUCCGUCUGCUGCCCUUCCUCCACUUCGAAUUUAUCCAGCAGACUUGAGAGAGAGAGAGAGAGAGAGAGAGAGAGAGAGAGAGAGAGAAGAGUUGGGCAAGACGUAAUCUGAUUACCGGACUGCGGAUGUUUAUGCGAAUUUCUCGUUGUCGUGGGCGAAUUUCGAGGAGCCGCCGAGUGGAAUUUCAUUUUCCAUAGCCUGGCUCCGACCGGAAAGUACGUACCUUGUCGCUUGGACCAUGAAUUUACAGAUUAUUAUUGUUAUUAUUUAUUUAUUUAUUUAUUCAAAGCGAUAUUCCCCCGUUAGAUUACAGAAUAUAAUACUGAAUAAUUAUAGGCUCGAAGUAACUUUUACGUUCUUAGCGAUAUUCGAACAAAGACUUAACAAAAUCGUAUGUUUUCUAUCGUAUUUCCAUCGUAUAAUUUUUCACAAUUGU